rnacentral:lncRNA from 1 species
GAGAAAGAUUGCAAUGUCGUAAGCCUUAGCAGCCCUGACUUUAAGCUCCAGUCAUAUCCUUGGCAUCUUAAUCUCUCCUGUGAGAAAUGGAGCUUUAGUGUAAAAAUAUAUUUACGCUUCAUGGUGACAACACAUCCGAGACUUGUGCUCAGAGGUCAUUUAGCAGAUCAAUGGUCCCAACACCAACUAAAAGAAGAUAUUGUGGUUAAUGAUAUUAGAUGGUAUGUGAAGGAGUCAUUACUGGAGAAACAUCAGUGUAGGGCUAUAUGUGAAAUGUCCCGAAGGGAACAGGAUUUAAUGGAGGAUCUCAAGGUUGCAAGAAAGGCAUACCAUGAGCUCAUACUACAGUUGUCUCUUGUUUCAUGGGGGGCACUCAUGCUUAUAUUUGGUGACUUGAAUGCUUACAUAUCUCUGCAUGAAGAUUUGUUGGCAAGAAUAGGAGAAACAACCAAACCUGAUGAAAUAGUGGAACAGACUGGGCCCAUUCUCAUGAACUGGUUGCCAAGCUUAAAUACCUGUAAAGACUAUCGUCAUAACCAGCUGGUGGCCAAGGCACUUCUUUCCAAAAAAACAAGAUUCAAGAAUGCAAGACUUCUUGAGCAAUGUCUUGAGUCUCCUUUCAGUCAAAAAUUAGAUCUUUAGAAUUUCCUAGAUAUUCCUUAAAGUUGCCUCAUCAAAUAAUCUUUAGUGUGAUAAGGCAUUUUUAGACAUUCUCCAAAAGAUCACCCUGAGGUUGAGCAUCUAGAGAACGUUGUAUUGAUAACACAGGGAAUUCCCUCCGAUAUUAACUAGAAGAAAGGCCAAUUAGAGUGCCAGUAUUUUACUGACAAACUGGAGUAACUGGAUGAAAAAGUGAAAGGAUCGUAGAAUUGAAACAAGCAAAGUAUUGCUCUGCCAUGGGAACUUGAAAAAUAAGACAGACAUAAACUUUACAUUUCUCUGUUUCAAGACUUCUUGGUUUUGACUUGACCUGGUAACAAGAAACACAAAAGGAGAAUUACUUUUAUCCGUUUUGCUAGCAACCAACCCUAGUCUAAGAGCUAGUCUUUGAAGACCUGAAGGAUGGAGAUGUGAGAAUGAGAAAGUCCUUUUGAAGAUGUUUCUGUAAUUCAGAUAAAGCUAAAAAUAUCUUUGUAGUUUGCUUCCAAGACCCUUCUUUGGGCCAGUCUCACACUCCAUAAGUCUAAGAUGUGUUUCAUAAGCAGCAGUGGUUCCAUUGUACUUAAGUCACUAUUGCUCCUUUCCAGUCUAACUAAGUUUGAGGAUUAGCCAGAGCUCCAAAAAGAGUGGGAAAAGAACAAUCCCUUGGUCUGGAUCAUCAAAGACUGGAGGAAGGCUUCCACAGUU